rnacentral:rRNA from 1 species
CUUCUUUGCGGCUGGCUACUAUGCAGUCGACGAGCAGCACAGGAGAGCUUGCUCUCUGGGUGGCGAGUGGAGGAGGGGGGAGGAAUACAUCGGAAUCUACUCUGUCGUGGGGGAUAACGAAAGGAAACUUACGCUAAUACCGCAUACGACCUACGGGUGAAAGCAGGGGAUCUUCGGACCUUGCGCGAUUUUCCUGAGACGAUGUCGGAUUAGCUAGUUGGCGGGGUAAAGGCCCACCAAGGCAACGAUCCGUAGCUGGUCUGAGAGGAUGAUCAGCCCCACUGGAACUGAGACACGGUCCAGACUCCUACGGGAGGCAGCAGUGGGGAAUAUUGGACAAUGGGCGCAAGCCUGAUCCAGCCAUACCACGUGGGUUAAAAAGGCCUUCGGGUUGUAAACCCCUUUUGUUGGGAACGAAUUUCUAUUUUUUCUAAUACCUGGUGGGGAUGAGGGGGGGGGGGGGGAAUUCCCCCCCCCGC